CAGAUGCCUAAAACUGACAGAGCCAUGCAGGCGCCCCACCAGUGUCACAGAUGCUACUUACCUUGAUAAAUAAUGAAACAAUCCUUUGGCAAAUCCUGUCGAGUGAUACAACCUCCAUCUGCUCCCAGGAGAAACAGCACUUUGGGAGGGUUCUUGCGAAUUGCUUCCACCCCAGGUUUAUAGCCAAGGUCCAAAGCAGCUACUUGGCUUGCAAUCCUGUAAAACAAUUACGGAUUUUUAGCACACCUGCAGUGUUAUCAUUAUAAAAAAAUUAAAUGUGACUCUUGAAAUGACA